GACAAAGAGAGCGGGGGCCAGCCCCCCACCCUGCUCCUCACCUGCUGGAUGCCCCGGGAGGCCACGAAGCUGGUGAUGUCGGGGGGCAUGCGGAGCCCGGGAGGGGCGACGUAGCGCAGGUUGACGCGGUACUGGCUCCUCGCGGAUGGUGAAGAUGUCCAGCAGCGCCUGCGUGGGGUGCUCGCCCACCCCGUCCCCGGCGUUGAUCACCGGCUUGCGGCAGUGCCUGGCGGCCAGCUGGGAGCACCGGCAAGGCAGGGCAGGGCCGCGCUGUCAGCUCGGGGAGCCCGGCACCCCGCCCGGGACGGGGCUCCCUCGGGGUGCCCAGGGGCACGGCUCACCUUGAGGAUGUCCAGGCUCCGCUCCUUCUGCACCAGCAUGCGCAGGGAAGAAAAGGACCCAGGACCUCACCUGCCCAUCGAUGUAGGCAACCUCCCCACGCAGGACGACCCUCCGCACCGUCCCCUUGACCUGCAUGCCCUCAAAGGGGGUCCAACGGGCCUUGGAGAAGACUGUGCUGC